rnacentral:rRNA from 1 species
ACGCUGGCGGCGUGCCUAAUACAUGCAAGUAGAACGCUGAAGAGAGGAGCUUGCUCUUCUUGAAUGAGUUGCGAACGGGUGAGUAACGCGUAGGUAACCUGCCUUGUAGCGGGGGAUAACUAUUGGAAACGAUAGCUAAUACCGCAUAACAAUGGGUGACACAUGUCAUUUAUUUGAAAGGGGCAAUUGCUCCACUACAAGAUGGACCUGCGUUGUAUUAGCUAGUAGGUGAGGUAACGGCUCACCUAGGCGACGAUACAUAGCCGACCUGAGAGGGUGAUCGGCCACACUGGGACUGAGACACGGCCCAGACUCCUACGGGAGGCAGCAGUAGGGAAUCUUCGGCAAUGGGGGCAACCCUGACCGAGCAACGCCGCGUGAGUGAAGAAGGUUUUCGGAUCGUAAAGCUCUGUUGUAAGUCAAGAACGAGUGUGAGAGUGGAAAGUUCACACUGUGACGGUAGCUUACCAGAAAGGGACGGCUAACUACGUGCCAGCAGCCGCGGUAAUACGUAGGUCCCGAGCGUUGUCCGGAUUUAUUGGGCGUAAAGCGAGCGCAGGCGGUUUGAUAAGUCUGAAGUUAAAGGCUGUGGCUCAACCAUAGUUCGCUUUGGAAACUGUCAAACUUGAGUGCAGAAGGGGAGAGUGGAAUUCCAUGUGUAGCGGUGAAAUGCGUAGAUAUAUGGAGGAACACCGGUGGCGAAAGCGGCUCUCUGGUCUGUAACUGACGCUGAGGCUCGAAAGCGUGGGAGCGAACAGGAUUAGAUACCCUGGUAGUCCACGCCGUAAACGAUGAGUGCUAGGUGUUGGAUCCUUUCCGGGACUCAGUGCCGCAGCUAACGCAUUAAGCACUCCGCCUGGGGAGUACGACCGCAAGGUUGAAACUCAAAGGAAUUGACGGGGGCCCGCAC